UGUUUAAUCUUAGCAGUGUUCUAACUUUUUAUGGUAGUUUUACUCAUGCGAGUUCUAUUUAUUUUUGUAGUUUUCUACAUGAAUAAUAGGGCGUGCAGGCGAGGAAUAUAAAGAAUAGAUACCUAAUUUUUAUUAGAUUCAUUCUUUAUUCUGUAGGUAGUUGUUGUGGUAAAGGCGCAACAAGCCGUUGACAGAUAGAAAAGAGCGAAAGCUUCUAUUUCCGCAAUUGGUUUUAAUAGACCGAUCGGUCAGUUUUCUGACUGCUGCAGAGGAGAAUCUUGGGCAAUGUUCGCAAGAAUGACCCAGCUAACCAUAACCCUGUGAAGCUAGCAAUAGCUAAGGGUGUCGUAAGGGAGGAUGAUGACGUUACCUUACUAAUAGUCCAAUCUAAGUCUCGUGCCAGCAGACGCGGUUAUACGAACUGGGCAAAAGUUGAAUAAAUUAAUAGGUUUUAAGGAUCUGUAGGCUGUUGUUAUAUAUAAUGAACAACUUGAAUUCUAUAGAGGAAAAUAGAAUGCUAGAAGUAGGGAUGAUAUCCGUUGAGAUCUAGUGGAAUACUAAUGGCGAAAGCAAUUUUCCAAGUAAGAAUUGACGCUGAGAGAUGAAAGUUUGGAUAGCGAACCAGAUUAGCUACCUGAGUAGUCCAAACCGUAAACUAUUUACACUAAUUCUUUGGUUAGGUAUAUAAAUACUAUUUAUAAUCAGAGAAAAAGCAAAAGGCUGUAUGUGUAACACCUUGUUAGUAAUGUCUCAAGACUGAAAGCAAAAAGAUUAGACCAUCCUUAAGAACCGGUGUGGAGCAUGUUGUUUAAUACGACAAUACGCGUAGAACCUUACCUCUCCUUGUAUGUUUUGAAUAGAUAGAUUCUGUCUUUCUAUUCAUUUCACAGGUGUUGCAUGGCUGUCGGCAGUUCGUGUCGUAAGAUGUUAGGUUGAGUCCGCCAACGAACGCAAUCCAUAGUAUAUAUUAUCUUCUAUAUACUAUCUCUUCGAUAAGAAGGAUCAAAAUGGAAUACGAUAAGCCCUCAUGACCCUUAUGGAGUAUGGGCUACAGACGUGCUACUUGAAUCUUACAAUAAGAUGCAAAAUCAUAAGAUUUAGCAAAUCUAUUAAAUAAGAUCUAAUAAGGAUUGUAGACUGAAACUCGUCUACAUGAAUCAGGAAUACCGAGUAAUCGUUUAUCAGUACGGAACGGUGAACCAUUCUAUUAAGGAGAUACUAACUGUCUAUCGCAUCUCGGUUAUGUUUAGAAAUGGAACUAAGUAGGUUACUACUUAGGACAUAAUAAAUGGAACUGAGGUGAAGUUAUAGCAAGGUAGCCGUAAGGGAACUUGUGGCUGAUUGAUAA
rnacentral:rRNA from 1 species